AAUGGAAGUCGACGAUAGGCCACAAGGUGAAGACAAGGCGAAGAUGGGUCUGCCGCACGUGACGUCUUUCUGCUGCUGCCUGGGUCUCGAAGUGGGCGCCAAAAUCGUCGCAUAUUUGCACACGUUAAUCUCCGUAUGCCUGGUGGUGGUGUGCUCGAUUUACGCACAGAGCUUCAACGAGAUGGUGGGCACCGUAGACAACGUCGGUGAUGAGAUCUACACCAAGUGGUACCGUAUCGCCGUGGUCGCGGCCAUCAUUAGUACGGGACAUGUACUCAUCGCUAUCAUGCUAUUAUACGGGGUUUACAAGCGUAGUAAAAUGGCGGUGGCUUUAUGGGUAGGCACGAUGGUGUUGGUGUUUGUGAUCGCUGUGGCUGUAAUCGUCGUUAGUAUUGCGCUCACCGGGGUCAGCGGAUCCGGAUCAGACAUCUUCGUCGCUUUCAUCGAGGGUGUAAUAUUUUUCGGUGUACUGGCGUACUGCAUUUUAUCCGUGUACAGCUACUAUUUAAUGCUGAAGAGUUGCGACGACAUGGAGGGUCCGGGGGGUGAUUAUUAAAGCUUGGACAAGGACUGGAGAUGGCAUGAGAUCGAGUUAAUUGCUUUAAGAACCUCACACCGUUGGAAACUCUUUGAUCCGUUUUAUUUAUUUAUUUUUGCUUGUCAUUUGAUAUCUUAUGAUGACAGUAUGAAAUAAUAUGACGUUGUCUGGUGUGCAACACGUAUGAUGUUAUUCACGCUAUGUACCAAUAGAUGGCGAUGUUUCGUGGUGCCUUUUAAGUUAAGUUAAAUUAGGAUAAAAACUUCGAUUAUUUAAAAUAUAACCAAUGUCGUUGUUCUGUGGUUACUUAUACCAAUACUAUGAUUAAGUAAUUAAAGUGCUUUAGCAGUGCUGUGUUUUUUUUAUAAAGUAGCUAAUUGUUAAGUUGUAAUUGUAAGAAUGAAUAUUGUGCCA